AGAGUUUGAUCCUGGCUCAGAAUGAACGUUGGCGGCGUGGAUUAGGCAUGCAAGUCGAACGAGAACCCAGCAAUGGGGGAAAGUGGCGUAAGGGGCAGUAAUACAUGGAUAACGUACCCCGAGGUACCGCAUAGCCGUUCUAACGGACGGGUAAUUCGGUACGCCCCGGCGACGCGGCAUCGCGUUGUCGGGAAAGAUUCAUCGCCUCGGGAGCGGUCCAUGCGAUAUUAGCUAGUUGGCGGGGGAACGGCCCACCAAGGCUAAGAUGUCUAGCGGGUGUGAGAGCACGACCCGCGCCACUGGCACUGAGAACGGGCCAGACACCUACGGGUGGCGGCAGGCGAGGAUCUUCCGCAAUGGACGAAAGUCUGACGGAGCGACGCCGCGUGUGCGAUGAAGGCCUUCGGGUUGUAAAGCACUGUCGAGGGGGAGGAAGCCGCAAGGUUGACCCAUCCCUGGAGGAAGCACGGGCUAAGUUCGUGCCAGCAGCCGCGGUAAUUC
rnacentral:rRNA from 1 species